UAUGAUUUAAAUGGAAGUCUGUAAGCUUGAACCAGCAAACAGCAGUGAUCAGAUCAGCCUAAAAAAACUUGAAGGUGAAUUUACUUAGAAAUCACUCCCAGGCCAGGUCAUUCAGAAUUUCUUUCUGCAAAAAAAAACUUCACGGAACAAAUUAAAAAUUAAACUGCAAGAAAUAACCAUACAUGAUUUCUAGAAUUUAGCAUAAACCCUCAAUAAUCGUCUGACGAUGAUCAAACAGAAGUCAAACUCCAUGAUUGAAUACAUAAUAACAUUUCUUGCACGUUUAUUUCAUAUCAU